GAGAGUUUGAUUCUGGCUCAGGACGAACGCUGGCGGCGUGCCUAACACAUGCAAGUCGAGCGAGGAGAUUCCCUUCGGGGAUGAACCUAGCGGCGGACGGGUGAGUAACACGUGGGCAACCUACCUUAUAGAGGGGAAUAGCCUUCCGAAAGGAAGAUUAAUACCGCAUAACAUUACAUUUUCGCAUGAAAAAGUAAUUAAAGGAGUAAUCCGCUAUAAGAUGGGCCCGCGGCGCAUUAGCUAGUUGGUGAGGUAACGGCUCACCAAGGCGACGAUGCGUAGCCGACCUGAGAGGGUGAUCGGCCACAUUGGGACUGAGACACGGCCCAGACUCCUACGGGAGGCAGCAGUGGGGAAUAUUGCACAAUGGGGGAAACCCUGAUGCAGCAACGCCGCGUGAGUGAUGAAGGUCUUCGGAUCGUAAAGCUCUGUCUUCAGGGACGAUAGUGACGGUACCUGAGGAGGAAGCCACGGCUAACUACGUGCCAGCAGCCCGC
rnacentral:rRNA from 1 species